GCUGGGUGGAGGACGAAUGAACUGUGAGAGCGUCUGAGAUGAAAAGCAGGCCUGGGAGCUGGGGGCCUGGUGGCAGGAAAGUCUCCAGAGAGGGGGAGAGCACCCCUGCCACGGAAGCGGCAGAGACAGCCAUAGAAACAAUAAAGGAGAUCUGGAUGAGCUCAUAUGGAAAGUUCUCCAAGAUAUAUUGUGUCUUCUGUCACCCUUGAAGGGAAAGGACAAGCAGAACGGCUGCACAAGUGCCAAGUUGGAGUCAGAGCUCCCCGCCACUCUGGCUCAGUAGACCCACACCUCUCUGGCCCUAUUUUCCCCACACACACAAUAAGGCAAAAACUACUGCCCAUCUUUUGAAGAAACCAUUUCCCUCCUCCAAAGGCCUCUGUACUAGCUGCAGGCGGCAGCACCAGAUAUCCAUACUCACUGCCCUACAGAUCCUGUGGGAGGGCCUGCACGCCCCACACUCUGUCUCCCUUCAGCACCCUGCCCAGAGGCUGGCAGGCUUACCUCCUAUGCGAUCUCCUCUCAAAGUAAAAAAGCUCACAGCUUGGGCUGGUGGGGAGAGCCCAGCUGAAAAGCAAAUCCACAUUUAAGUGUGAAUGGUAACUAAUCUGGUAAAGGAAGUGGCCAGGCUGACCAGGGUUUUGGCAAGUGCUUUUUUUUUUAA